GCCUGAGUGGCUUAGUGGGUUGGGCAUCUGCCUUCAGCUCAGGUCAGGAUCUCAGGGUCCUGGGAUCAAGUCCCAAGUCAGGCU
rnacentral:tRNA from 1 species